CAACUUUCAGCAGUGGAUGUCUAGGCUCGCACAUCGAUGAAGAACGCUGCGAACUGCGAUACGUAAUGCGAAUUGCAGGAUUCAGUGAGUCAUCGAACUUUUGAACGCAUAUUGCACUUUCGGGUUACGCCUGGAAGUAUGUCUGUAUCAGUGUCCUUA
rnacentral:rRNA from 1 species